GACCGCGUAGCUCAGUUAGCAGAGCAUUGGGCUAGUAUUCCAAAGGUCGUAGGUUCGAUUCCCACCGUGGCCA
rnacentral:tRNA from 1 species